CCUACGGGAGGCUGCAGUGAGGAAUAUUGGUCAAUGGACGAGAGUCUGAACCAGCCAAGUAGCGUGAAGGAUGACUGCCCUAUGGGUUGUAAACUUCUUUUAUAUGGGAAUAAAAUGUUCCACGUGUGGGAUUUUGUAUGUACCAUAUGAAUAAGGAUCGGCUAACUCCGUGCCAGCAGCCGCGGUAAUACGGAGGAUCCGAGCGUUAUCCGGAUUUAUUGGGUUUAAAGGGAGCGUAGGCGGAUUGUUAAGUCAGUUGUGAAAGUUUGCGGCUCAACCGUAAAAUUGCAGUUGAAACUGGCAGUCUUGAGUACAGUAGAGGUGGGCGGAAUUCGUGGUGUAGCGGUGAAAUGCUUAGAUAUCACGAAGAACUCCGAUUGCGAAGGCAGUUCACUGGACUGCAACUGACACUGAGGCUCGAAAGUGUGGGUAUCAAACAGGAUUAGAUACCCGAGUAGUC
rnacentral:rRNA from 1 species